rnacentral:rRNA from 1 species
AUUGAACGCUGGCGGCAUGCCUAACACAUGCAAGUCGAACGGAGCGGCGGACGGGUGAGUAAUGUCUCGGAAUGUGCCUGGUAGUGGGGGAUAACUACCCGAAACGGUCGCUAAUACCGCAUACUAUUGGAUCCGCCUAUGUCGGAUUAGCUAGUUGGUGGGGUAAAGGCCUACCAAGGCGACGAUCCGUAACUGGUUUGAGAGGAUGACCAGCCACACUGGAACUGAGACACGGCCCAGACUCCUACGGGAGGCAGCAGUGGGGAAUAUUGGACAAUGGGGGAAAGCCUGAUCCAGCCAUGCCGCGUGUGUGAAGAAGGCCUUCGGAUUGUAAAGCACUUUAAGCAGGGAAGCGUUACCAGCAGAAUAAGCACCGGCUAACUACGUGCCAGCAGCCGCGGUAAUUC